ACCCCAUGAAGCUGGAUUCGCUAGUAAUCGCGCAUCAGCCACGGCGCGGUGAAUACGUUCCCGGGCCUUGUACACACCGCCCGUCAAGCCACGGAAGCCGGGGGUGCCUGAAGUGCGCUGCCGCAAGGAGCGCCCUAGGGUAAAACCGGUGACUGGGGCUAAGUCGUAACAAGGUACC
rnacentral:rRNA from 1 species